rnacentral:rRNA from 1 species
AACGAACGCUGGCGGCAUGCCUAACACAUGCAAGUCGAACGAGACCUUCGGGUCUAGUGGCGCACGGGUGCGUAACGCGUGGGAACCUGCCCUUAGGUUCGGAAUAACUCCCCGAAAGGGGUGCUAAUACCGGAUAAUGUCUUCGGACCAAAGAUUUAUCGCCUUUGGAUGGGCCCGCGUUGGAUUAGCUAGUUGGUAGGGUAAAAGCCUACCAAGGCGACGUUCCAUAGCUGGUCUGAGAGGAUGAUCAGCCAAACUGGGACUGAGACACGGCCCAGACUCCUACGGGAGGCAGCAGUGGGGAAUAUUGGACAAUGGGCGAAAGCCUGAUCCAGCAAUGCCGCGUGAGUGAUGAAGGCCUUAGGGUUGUAAAGCUCUUUUACCCGGGAUGAUAAUGACAGUACCGGGAGAAUAAGCUCCGGCUAACUCCGUG